CUGGUAAUAGCUUUGAUGAACUGGUAAUAGCUGAUGAUGAUGAUUGAUAGGCUGAUGCCAAAGUUUAGGGCUAUGAUGGGUACAACACCAGAUGGGCGCGGUUCUUAUUGCAUCAUAUCUUUUCUCUGGGAUACAGGGCAGCCUUGCUAUUAAAACUAAGGAACUUCAGGACUCGAGUUCGUUCUGCUAUCUUGGGUUACCUAUUCAUAUUCAGAGUUAAUUAUUAAUUACUCUUUGCACUUUUUCAAUUUUUAAUGGCGUUGGUUUUGAUCUUAUACUCUGUUCGUCAGUUUUCUUGUUCCAAAUUUGUUCCUUGUUUUGGUAUUUCAUCAUAUUAAUCUUGCGUUUUGUGGUUAUAUUAUUAUAAGUGGAUCAUUCAGUUUGUUGUUGGUUUUGAGUUUGGGUUUGUAUGCUGCAUAUUCGCUAUUCAAACAAACAGAUUUGAAAUUUUCAUGCUUGCAACUAAGAUGCAUGACCUAUGUUUAUGCAGGCACGAGUGGGAGGUGGGUGCACACAUACAUGUAGUGGGAAGUUAACCGUUUUUGGCGUAUAAUUCAAUAAUUGUUUGGCAGGCAGUGAUUCCAACCUGUAGAGGCUUCAAGGUUGAGAAGUAAAAUCCAGAAGUUACUCAAGGAAGAAUUUCAAAAUGCAUCCAAGUCUAACUGCUCUAAAGAAUAUUCUCCUCUGAAUGAUGCUUCUGAUGAAUGAAUUGACAUGUGGGAGCCUUUCUGAAUCUGCACACGGUGCAUAUUGUCCAACCGGUCAAUCAGUCAAUCAACCGUGAAAAUGUUCUUUUGAGUUUAGUAACAGGAAAAAUUAGUCUGAUUUUGAUUUCGAAUUUCAUGAAAGAUAGGUAAUACCAUUGCUUAGGACAAGGCAUAGAUCUUAGCCAUUUACAUUACUGACCAUUUUUGGAGAGUUAGAAUCCUUCUCUAGGAUGAGGCUUCAACUGUAUAGUAGAAAACAAAAACAGUGAUGGUGGACUUUUCUAGCUUUAUAAAAGAAGAAUGGUGCUAUCUGGAUCAAGAAGUUGAUAUUUCAAAUCUAACAGUUUCAGACUAUUGGAAACGACUUCCUGACCAUGUUGAGGAGAAGAAACUUGUGGUAAUUUCCGUCCUCAAUGCCAUAUAUUACACACCCUAUCUUAUGGAAUCAUCAUUAGUUCACUCACAUUUGCCUUAGUCAUAGUUGUCAACUUUAAUUAAGACCAUAAAGCUCUUGAACUUUAUUCUUGAACUUCAAAUUUAGCGUUGCUAAUAAGUUGGAAUUCUGUUAAGAGCUAUAACAUACUCAAGUAUCUCAAAAUGCCAUGAUUUGUUGGGGUUUACUUGGUUUAAAGAUUACCUCUUUCAUUUUCCCCCAGGUCCCACAACAGAAAAAUGACUAUGAUUGUGGUCUCUUUGUACUCUUCUUUAUGAAAUGCUUUAUAGAAGAGGCCCCUAAA